rnacentral:rRNA from 1 species
GACGAACGCUGGCGGCGUGCCUAAUACAUGCAAGUAGAACGCUGAAGAGAGGAGCUUGCUCUUCUUGGAUGAGUUGCGAACGGGUGAGUAACGCGUAGGUAACCUGCCUUGUAGCGGGGGAUAACUAUUGGAAACGAUAGCUAAUACCGCAUAACAAUGGAUGACACAUGUCAUUUAUUUGAAAGGGGCAAUUGCUCCACUACAAGAUGGACCUGCGUUGUAUUAGCUAGUAGGUGAGGUAACGGCUCACCUAGGCGACGAUACAUAGCCGACCUGAGAGGGUGAUCGGCCACACUGGGACUGAGACACGGCCCAGACUCCUACGGGAGGCAGCAGUAGGGAAUCUUCGGCAAUGGGGGCAACCCUGACCGAGCAACGCCGCGUGAGUGAAGAAGGUUUUCGGAUCGUAAAGCUCUGUUGUAAGUCAAGAACGAGUGUGAGAGUGGAAAGUUCACACUGUGACGGUAGCUUACCAGAAAGGGACGGCUAACUACGUGCCAGCAGCCGCGGUAAUACGUAGGUCCCGAGCGUUGUCCGGAUUUAUUGGGCGUAAAGCGAGCGCAGGCGGUUUGAUAAGUCUGAAGUUAAAGGCUGUGGCUCAACCAUAGUUCGCUUUGGAAACUGUCAAACUUGAGUGCAGAAGGGGAGAGUGGAAUUCCAUGUGUAGCGGUGAAAUGCGUAGAUAUAUGGAGGGACACCGGUGGCGAAAGCGGCUCUCUGGUCUGUAACUGACGCUGAGGCUCGAAAGCGUGGGGAGCGAACAGGAUUAGAUACCCUGGUAGUCCACGCCGUAAACGAUGAGUGCUAGGUGUUGGAUCCUUUCCGGGAUUCAGUGCCGCAGCUAACGCAUUAAGCACUCCGCCUGGGGAGUACGACCGCAAGGUUGAAACUCAAAGGAAUUGACGGGGGCCCGCACAAGCGGUGGAGCAUGUGGUUUAAUUCGAAGCAACGCGAAGAACCUUACCAGGUCUUGACAUCCCGAUGCUAUUUCUAGAGAUAGAAAGUUACUUCGGUACAUCGGUGACAGGUGGUGCAUGGUUGUCGUCAGCUCGUGUCGUGAGAUGUUGGGUUAAGUCCCGCAACGAGCGCAACCCCUAUUGUUAGUUGCCAUCAUUCAGUUGGGCACUCUAGCGAGACUGCCGGUAAUAAACCGGAGGAAGGUGGGGAUGACGUCAAAUCAUCAUGCCCCUUAUGACCUGGGCUACACACGUGCUACAAUGGUUGGUACAACGAGUUGCGAGUCGGUGACGGCAAGCUAAUCUCUUAAAGCCAAUCUCAGUUCGGAUUGUAGGCUGCAACUCGCCUACAUGAAGUCGGAAUCGCUAGUAAUCGCGGAUCAGCACGCCGCGGUGAAUACGUUCCCGGGCCU